GGGUAUUCAGGAGUGAGCCAGUCAACUCUGAGCCGAGCCAUGUCAGCUGUGUGGAAAGCAAUCAUCCCAAUGUCAUCCAGGUACAUCACAUUCCAACAUUAAAGUGCAAUUUGCAGCGAGAGCUGGUUUCCCUGAUGUAAUCGGAACUAUUGACUGCACACAUAUUGUUAUAAAGGCGCGAUCA